GCGUGUCUCCCCCAGUUUCCUCCUUCUCCAUUUUGAGUUCCUCUUUCUGACACGGGAGGAACCAGAGCUGUACAGGGUGUUCUGCAGGGUGUCUCACCCAUGUUUUAUACAUCAGAACAGAGGCGAGGGCGUCUUACUGCUAAUGCCUUGGGAGCGCAACCAGGAGCGGCCUGCCUGGCUGCAGUGUCCUGGUUUCUGGAUUGGCCUGGAAACAGCUCCCUCCGUGCUCAGUCUGUAUCAAGAGUCCAGCCCUGAGCAGAAAGAAAUCAUCAUCCCCCAAAGUACUCGGCUCUUCAUUCAGCCCAGCAGCCAGAGGCUUGUGCAGGUCUCCAGGUCCUGUUUGAGACCCGUGAAGGCAUCAUUUCCAUUCAUGAAAAAAAUGGCCACCUGAUGGGCAUCGUGGCCUCAGCAAUCUCCCAAGAAAACAUCCAAAAAGAAGUCUGAUUCUUUCUUUCCUCACUGGGACACAAACUUUGAGGGUUUUGUGCCAGCCCCUGCAAGACUACACGUGCAGUAUGCAUGCAAGUACAGCUUAGACCGCUUGAUCUUCCUCCUGUGUUUCGGUAGAUGCUGUGUUACUGAAAAAGGCGUAAUGCUUCGUGUUUUUUGGCAAGUGUCGGUGGGCCAGCUGAGCUGCUCUUCAGCCUGCGCUGCUGGGGACAGUGUCCGGUUUCAGUCCUUGCUACCUGUGACUCAGGAUUAUCUUCCAGACACACUAGAGUCCUGUCAUUUGUAAUUUUAAUGAGGUACAACCACAACAGAUGUGUUUUUCAGUUUGUUUUUCUCCUCCCAGCUCUUUCACGUUGUUCAAGACUUGUCUGCUGGCGAUGUGAAUGCUCCCGUCCUUGGUGGAGACCUGUGUCCUCCUCUCCAUCUUUCAGUGAAAACAGGUGUUUUAUAUUGAUAGUCAGAAGGAGUGAAGAAAUGUCUUCCAGAAGAAUUUCUGCAUUUUUUUUUCCUAUUAAGUUCGCUCUUGAGACUUGACAAUUUCCUGCCAUAAGCCUCAAACUGGGGCUGCUGUUUCUCCCAACUGGUGGUGGGCCAGCAGAGGCAGGGCAGCUUUGGCAUCUGCAGGCUGCAGCCCUGCAGUCACACCCCCAGCAGACAGGCACGGACAGCCCACGUGUGUUUUGCUUCCCGUGAAGGUGAUUUUGUAGUCUUUGCAACCG
rnacentral:lncRNA from 1 species